UCUUGUCCUGUGAUUACCCUUCUGUGUAUUUAGUCUUGUCUUCCCCUGUGCUCCAUGUCUGUUCGUCGUCAUUUCAUGUCCCUGCUACCUGUCGUCUAUGCUUGUCCAUGUCUCCUGCCUGUUCCCGUCUCUCAACAGCAGGACUUCAUUUCAGCUCCCAUCAGUGCGCUGGUCUUUCUCAUGAGGGCCAUCUCACCAGAUAACAUCAGGCUGCCAUCCAGAUGGUGAAGGAGACGAGCAGCGUGGGUAAAACCGUGAGCAGCGUCACACAGCCCAGAUACAGCGCGACUGCUACACCACACAGUGCAGUCAGAUAGGAGCUCUUCCUGCUGCAAACAAUCUUCCGUACUGCUGUGCAGAACUACAAGAAACAGUGUGCCAAGAGACUGUACCUGGUAUGUCUGGUAGCUGAUGGACAUGCCGUAUCUGCAGUACAUGACGUAGUGUUCACAGUUGUACCACAGUAGGCUGUAGUUGACCUUGCCCAGGAGUUUCUCUGCCCUUCUCGCUACCUCGUCCCCGUCCAAAGGAGGCUGGCUGCACACCUUGUCCAUGUGGUUGACCAGGAUCUCCG